rnacentral:rRNA from 1 species
UAGGGAAUAUUGCGCAAUGGAGGGAACUCUGACGCAGCGACGCCGCGUGAGCGAUGAAGGUCUUCGGAUCGUAAAGCUCUGUCCUUGGGGAAGAAGGGAGCCGUAAGGCUUCUUGACGGUACCCAUGGAGGAAGCCCCGGCUAACUACGUGCCAGCAGCCGCGGUAAUACGUAGGGGGCAAGCGUUGUCCGGAAUUAUUGGGCGUAAAGGGUGCGUAGGCGGCCCUUUAAGUCAGAUGUGAAAGCCCACGGCUUAACCGUGGGACUGCAUUUGAAACUGGAGGGCUUGAGUGUCGGAGAGGGCAGUGGAAUUCCCAGUGUAGCGGUGGAAUGCGUAGAUAUUGGGAGGAACACCAGUGGCGAAGGCGACUGCCUGGACGAUAACUGACGCUGAGGCACGAAAGCUAGGGGAGCAAACAGGAUUAGAUACCCUGGUAGUCCUAGCCGUAAACGAUGGGUACUAGGUGUAGGAGGUUUCGAUACCUUCUGUGCCGCAGUUAACGCAAUAAGUACCCCGCCUGGGGAGUACGUGCGCAAGCAUGAAACUCAAAGGAAUUGACGGACGAGAUCAG